CAGGUGGGGAAAUAGGAGGAAAUAAGAUCAAAGAUCUUAUGAAAUUACUUUAAACUGACCGUGGUAAGAGUAGGUGUACCAGGUAGCUCCUGAAUGAGAGCAGAGAAGCAUAUGGGAGUCUUUCUAGAGCAUGAUCUUUCCUUAUUAACAUCAUUACUUUGUUUCUCAUUAGUGUACCUAGAGUGAAGUACCCGGAGAUUCAUGGAUGGCAGCUGUUUCCUCCCAUUCUGCAUUUGUCACUAGUGUCCAGGACCCAAAGCUCACAGGAUGGAAUGUGUUCAUGAGCAUACAUGGGUGUGCAUGCAUAUAGACAUAGCAUGCAAGGAACAGCCAUCACAGAAGUAGCUACCUGAACAAAGUUCUGAGUCUCUCAAGUGCUCAACAACCAGACGACAGGCCCCUUGGGCAGCUGCCACCAUGAUGACCCACAGU
rnacentral:lncRNA from 1 species